rnacentral:lncRNA from 1 species
AAAACUUUCCAACAUCUCCAAACACAGUGCAUGAUACAUUUGGUUGUCAAGCGAUUUGUGCCCUUAAUGGUUGUUUCAAAGGGAGUUUAAAGGAUAAAGAAUAAAAAAUUGUCAAGUUCUCAAUGAAUUUUGGAACAUUUGCAUGAACCCUAAAGUAUAGAUUCAAAAUCCCUUGGAUCUAGAGUCCUGCCCACUCUGCAGCAAAACUUCUCAAGUAGUUCAUUUGUUUCCAAUAACCAGAUAAAGUAAGGACAUAUGAUUACAUACACGUACAGACACUCCCUUCCUGGUACUCCCCCUCCAUACACAGGCCAUGCCCUCAGGGCCACACCCACAUCAGGUCUUCAGAGUCUGAUACAGACUUGAAAUGAUAUCUUAAACCUCUCGUUCCCUCAUUAUGCAUUUGUUUCAUUUUAAGAUAUGCCCUUUAAUGUAUCUCCUCCCUCCCUGCUUCCUUCUCUCUCUUCCUCCCUUCUGUUCUUCCUUCUCUUGUUGUUGUUGCUGCUGCUGCUGCUGCUGCUGCUGCUGACGACAACAAGGAGGAGGUUACAGC